CCCGCGCCCGAGGACGGGUCCGGCCCCGAUAAGGGCAGCCCGGCGCCCCCCCGGCACGCAGAGCCCACGCGCUUCGCCCGCCUGAAGAACUGGGAGACCGGGAGCAUCGCCUACGACACGCUGUGCGCCCAGGCCGAGCAGGAGGUUCCGUGCUCGGCGCGCCGCUGCCUGGGCUCCCUGGUGCUGCCCAAGCAGCUGCCCGUGCCCGGCGCUGAGGGCGGCCGCAGCGGUGCUGAGCUGUUGGCUCUGGCGCGGGACUUCAUCGACCAAUACUACGCGUCCAUCCGGCGGU